rnacentral:rRNA from 1 species
UACGUAGGGACCAAGCGUUGUUCGGAUUUACUGGGCGUAAAGGGCGCGUAGGCGGCGUAACAAGUCACUUGUGAAAUCUCUGAGCUUAACUCCGAAACUGCAUUUGAUACUGGCGUGCUUGAGGACUGGAGAGGAGACUGGAAUUCACGGUGUAGCAGUGAAAUGCGUAGAGAUCGUGAGGAAGACCAGUGGCGAAGGCGGGUCUCUGGACAGUUCCUGACACUGAGGCACGAAGGCCAGGGGAGCAAACGGG